CCAGAGAACUUUCCAGAGAUGGAUUGGUGCCUUCGGGAACUCUGAGACAGGUGCUGCAUGGCUGACGUCAGCUCGUGUUGUGAAAUGUUGGGUUAAGUCCCGCAACGAGCGCAACCCUUAUCCUUUGUCGCCAGCGGUUAGGCCGGGAACUCAAAGGAGACUGCCAGUGAUAAACUGGAGGAAGGUGGGGAUGACGUCAAGUCAUCAUGGCCCUUACGAGUAGGGCUACACACGUGCUACAAUGGCGCAUACAAAGAGAAGCGACCUCGCGAGAGCAAGCGGACCUCAUAAAGUGCGUCGUAGUCCGGAUUGGAGUCUGCAACUCGACUCCAUGAAGUCGGAAUCGCUAGUAAUCGUGGAUCAGAAUGCCACGGUGAAUACGUUCCCGGGCCUUGUACACACCGCCCGUCACACCAUGGGAGUGGGUUGCAAAAGAAGUAGGUAGCUUAACCUUCGGGAGGGCGCUUACCACUUUGUGAUUCAUGACUGGGGUGAAGUCGUAACAAGGUAAGCGUAGAUGA
rnacentral:rRNA from 1 species